rnacentral:tRNA from 1 species
GUCGAAGGUGGUGAGGAUCAGCACCGCCGGACCGCCCGGCUGGUCGGCGUCCGCGCUGAUCCGCCGGGUCGCCUCCAGGCCGUCGACCCC